UGGGUGAAUAAUUUAAGGUUCAGAGAGAACAGAAUCAGACACUUUGGAGAUGGGACUAUUGGAAGAAUUUUGCCAAUGCCUUUCAUCACAUAUAGUUAUUUGUGGGGCACAUUAGUAUACAAUGAAGUUAUCAUAUACCCUCUGUUGUAUUCAGUAACCAAGUUGAUGAUCUUAUAAUAGCAAAGAUUGGGCAUUGGGUUCAUCAUUAAUAUAGACAAAGAUAUCCUUCUGCUAUGUUGCAGUGGGCAGGAAACCAUAUGAAUCCUUUAGAACAAUGAUGAUAUUACUGUUGGACAACGUUCCCCUUGCCAAUCAGAGCAUACACCUUUGAAGAAUCAGAAUGGCUUAACAUCACAGAAAAUUAAUUAUAUUGUUCUUUUUUUUUUCAUUGCAAAGCAAAAGAUUUUCCCUCACUAGAGUUGACACCUAUUCAGGACAUUCAGUUACAGUGUUAGUUUAGUUUUCUACUUGGCAACUACAAUUAAAGCCCCUAUCUUUCUUCCUUAUGCUCCCUCCCUUUAGCCCUCCCCAAAACCAUUGCCUCUAAUCAAGAUAUUUAUUUUACUUCCAGAAAGGAUUGAGAUUGGGCCCAACACAUUUACUGGGGUUUUCAUUUCCAUGCUAUUCUAAGGCAGUUGGUACUGUGGAAUGUUGAAAUAGACUUUUAUAGAAUAAUAGCUGUAUCAUAAUAUAAUUCAUUACCUUUUUUGUUUGUUUUUGUUCUAUCACAGAAUGGUAACUUUGAUCAAUCAUUACUAUCCAUGAAAGAGGGGUGCUCCAAAACAAUUUCUUAAUUUCAGCCUGAUUGGGAGGAGCAUAUAGUCCCAAAUGACCCUCUCCAGUCUUUUUUUUUUUUUGUCCCAUAUGAAGUUUCCUAUGUGAUCACCCAGAUCUAGAAGAAUCUGCCUCCCAUUUCCACCCCACAGGGGAUUCUAUAAAUUCAAGGAGGGAGGUCAUGCAGUUUUCUUUUCUUUCAGGAUAUUUUGGAUAGUUCAUGCCCAGAAAGGGUUGUGGGGAUUAAAGGGUAGAAUUACUAGAGGAGGCUUUACUUUUUAAUGAUAGAGAAUGUAAAACUGUCUUUUUACAACCAUGAUAAGGAAUUCAUUUAGAAAAAUGAGAUCCUUUGGCUAAUUUGGUAUUAAUUUUGAAGGCAGUCUUUACCCAUUGCCCAAGGAGGAACGAAGUAGUCCCUCAGGUAAAAGGGUCUAAAGAAGCCACAAUUUGGUAGCAUCCUCUUGAAGUAGCUCCUACGUUAUGCAUUAGGGAACAUCAAAUAAGUGUUCAAGAGGGUGCAUGGGAGUGAGCCCUGUCAUAGAGUGCAUGCAAAAAGCCUAUGACCACUUAUUUUGAUUUAGGUGAUUCAGAUCUGUGAUGUAGAAUAGUGAUAGCUUGAGAGGAAUCUUCAGUUUUUUUGAUGGACUUAAUGUUCCUGGUACUAUUUCUGGCUAUCACAAGUGUUUUGGCUUUAGAAAAUUUUUAUGAACUGCCCCUGAUUUUUUUUUUUUUUUUUGCCCUGCUUCUUCCAUCUUUAAAGAAGAUUAUUUAUAUGAUUUUGUAUUUUCAUGAUUUGCAAUGCCUUUCUAGUUCUUAGAAUUGUUUUAAAAUUAUUUUAAUAGUAGAAAGUUUCUAUGAAAAUUUUUGGGACCUUACUACCAAGAAUUGCUGUGUUAUAAGAAAAUGUAUGAUUUUAUGUGGAUGGUGUACGCAACACUGGGGACUUCUAUUAGGGAGGAACAAUUAGAUUUCAUUGGUGAGAGCAGGGUUGUUUUUGUGCCUGUUACAUAUUAUAUCUGGAGCCCCUCUGCUUUCUUUCCUUUUCAUUCCCACUUCCCUAAUUCCUUUUUCAUUUCUUAGUGGUACUAUCCAUCACUUGCUGCUCAGGUAGAAUGUAAACUGGGAUGUGUUGAAAAAGUCACUUGAAAUAUAAAAGGCUUAUAAGGAGAAUGAUUGCUUCUCCUGAGUUUCAACUGCUUGUAGCUUUCUGGAGUUCCUGACUUUGUAUGGGGAGUAGCAUUCUUUUAAUUUUUGAAGUGUGUUCUUUUAAUUCUUAAUUAGUUGUUUUUCUUAACUACAGUUGUUUGUUCCACUAAAUAUUUCAUUGUAUCUUCUUUAAGCAUGAACUAUUAUGUUAUCUAGUUUGGGCCUGACCUAGAAUAAGAGACCCUAUAAUGUUAAUGGCUCUUUAGCAUCCCUCCUCAAACAUGCUUUGGCUACAGGAACUCCAUACGUGUGUUCUGGCUAUGUGUGUUCCUUAUGAUUAUGAUUCUCAACUUAUAACCUCUAUGAGGACCUCUUUCCCAUGGUGCUAUUUGUUUUUGUGGGAGAGUGUCCCCUAGGAUUAAAAGGAAAGAUUUAUUUUGGGGAGUAGAGUGGGAUGGGAUUGCUACUUUUCUUACUAUGUUAUUUCAGUAAAUGCCUUUGCUUUGAGGUAAUUGUGUUCUCUGCUGUGGAGACCCCUGAGCUAUAUUUUUAGGGGUUCAGACCCACAGAACCCCUUAAAUCUGGGGAUACUACCGCAUAGAGAACCCAUUUCAAAAUCCAGGGGAUGCUUUGGGACACUACAAAUAUAAACUCAAUUUUUUACAAUAUAAUUUGAAAAUUCGUAUUCAAAUAAAUCAUGCCUGAUUUAAUUCAUAUAUUUUCUUUUUCUGUGGAGUCAUAAUUUAGUUUCUUUUCUGCUAAUCUCAUAAACAAGAAAGUUUUUUCUUCUCAGCAAUUAGUACAAUCUUUACUAUAUUCUGACUAAAUGGUCCAGGAGAAAGAAAAGACCUUACUUAAAUAGGGAAAAAUUCUGUUUUCUUAAAAAAAUUUUUUUUUCCUGAUUUUUAGGCCACCAGUUGCUGAGAUCGUUUAAUUAAAUGGAGCUCUUAAAGCCAUAACAGUAGUUGACACUGCUGAAAUCUUCUUCUGAGGCCUUCAUUUUAGUCUCCAAGAGAUGGGCAGGGGUUAUUUAAAGCCCUUUGACAGAUGAGUAUACUGAAGUACUGGGCAAUUCACCUCCUGUUGUGGCAAAACAAAUGGAUGUUGAACUGGGCCUCCAGAUCCACAGUCUAGCGAGAUGCCUCAGAGGAUGGCGGCCUGUAAAACGAUGCUGCUCUGGACAGCAAGCAGUGGCUCCAAUAGCCUGGGCUAUGUGUCAGGCUAGAGUUCCCUGAGGUGUCGGGGGCAGCAGCAGCAGCAGCAGCAGCCGCCGGAGCCGAGGGUGGAGUCCCCGAGUCCCCUCAGGAGAGAAGCAGCAGCGGCAGCAGCAGCAGCAAAGGGGUUCAGCAGCAGCAGCAGCAGCAGACCAUUGAUCGGAUCGUCUGGAGCCUGAGGGCCUCUCUGGAGCUGUACGCCGCGGCGUCUCACCAGAGCAGCGACCAGGACUCGGUCCGAAGCAGGAACCGCACGGCCACGGCCGGAGGUGGACCCGGGGCUCUCCCGCAGCCUCACGAGUUGGGGGAGACGGAAGCGGAGAGGGAGCCGGAGCCGAAGACGGAUCUGGCCGGGCCCCGCGACAGAGACGAUCCCGGGCCCCGGAAGCUCCUGCAGAUGGCCGGCGGCUGCUCCUCCGUACAGGGCCCCGGCCGGGCCGGCCACCAGGCCCACGUCAUCGCCUCGGAGCAGCGCUUCGGCUUCCCGAGCGCCGGCGGGGGCUGCCCCCCGCGCACCGGACUGCACGGCUUCCAGGCUGCGCUGGCGGCGGAGGCGGAGGCGGAGGCGGAGGCGCAGCGCGAGCCCGAGCCGGAGCCGCAGCCCGAGCGCAAGCCGCAGCCCGAGUCCGAGCCCAGGGCCGAGCCGCGGCCGUCCGGCCCGCGGCUGGCCUGCUCCGCGCACGGGGAGCUCUUCCCGGCCCCUGCCUCCGCCUCCGCCUCCGCCUCCACCUCCACCUCCGCCUCCGCCUCCGCCUCCGCCCCGGCCCCGGCCCCGGCACCGUCCCCGGCCCCGGCCCCGCCGCCCCAGCGCUACUACACCAUAGACGAGGAGCCGGACGCGCUCUUCCACGAGAUCGUGCGCCAUGACCCGCGGUGCGAUGAGUCUCCGCCCGCUGUGCUCCUCGGCUCGCGGCCCCACCAGCGCAGCUCCAGCACCAGCACCAGUACCAGCUCCAGCUCUAGCACCAGCUCCAGCACCAGUCCUGCCGCCGCCGCCGCCGCCGCCGCCGCCGCGCGCGCCGCUGUCGCUGUCGGGCCGACGUGCGCAAGCAGUGGCAGAGGACACGGCAGCACAGCGACCCUGGCGCCCGUCCCCGUAGCGCAGCCGCAGCCCGAGCCCGCGUCUGUUUCCUUUUAAAACUGACUCCAAUCUUCCCAGCGCUGUUUAUUCUCUCUAAGGGGGUCAAUCGUCCCUGUACGCGCAGGAAAGGGGGGAAAACCCGUCUUUGCGGCCGUUUACACCUCGCUCGAUCAAAAGACAACUACCUAGCUAGAAACUUUUGCAGGGAUUCAAACCAAUUUUAGCUCUGGCAGGUUCUCAGGAUUCGGUUAAUUGUUUGAACUUUGCAUAUUUUCCCCUCUUUUCAGAACCAGGUAGCUGAGGCUUGUUUUCCUCCUUUCUUUUAAAAGCGCAUUUGUGUUGCUUACAUGCAAGGACCCUUCUUACAUUAAUGUGGGUAUAAAAUGCCCUCGCUUUUUAAAAAGCAGAUCCAUCUGGAGUUGUGCAGAUAUUUAAGGAAAGGAGGGGUAUCUUAAGUCUCUUACUCCCGUCAUCUCUCAUUCACCACUCAAAUCAGGAAGAUACAGGGGAAAUAACAGGCAGGAAUAGCUGGCAAAAACAACCAGAAAGGUAUAGUUGGAGGCAGGGGCGACAGAAAUGUCAGGCUGCUAGACAGAUAAAGCCAGGCAUUAGAAGCUUGCAAAUUCCUGGAUCAUCAGAUAACACCAAUAGACUACAGAGCUCUUGACUUUUAGAAAAAGCCAAUAGAAACCAAAAUCUUGAGGCUAAUCUUCAAAGGUCUAAUUUUUAAUCAGAGCCAAGCAAACCUUUCCCUUAUUGGGCAGCUAACAGGAAGGAAAAAGAUAUCUUCAAAUAAGACACACAAAUCAGGUGUUGACAAUAGAAGCUACAUUAAAACCGAGCAGCCUGGCCUGUUGAGAGGCUUAAAUCGGAAAAGCUAACCUUCAAUUCAGGACAACUGUCAGAAUUCACAUGAACCUUUUAAUCGAGCAAUUGACAUUAAUGUUCAGCUAUUAGGAUCCCUUCCAAAGAAUGUGUCAUCCAAGCCUUACUUUAGUUUUUGAUGUAUCUAGUGUUUUCUGAUGGGGCAAUGCAGGCAGGAAUCCAAGUCCUCAUUCAACACAGAGAUUUAAGUUCUUAGGUUGGGAGUCCCAGUGUAGGUGAAGGAAGAGGGUGGAUCUGGUCUCAUAAGGGACAGACACUUCACGAUCUAGGACAUAGCUCCAGAAAUUUAGAAGGAUUGAUUCUGUCUUAUGUGUGUUUUUCCUCUAAGAAAUUCUUUUUUCUUGUGACUUCAAAGAAAAAGCCAGAUCACUGAACAAUAUAAAGAGGGCUUUAUCCUAUUUUUUCCCCAGUUGAGAAAGGAUUAAUGAAGAGUCUUACAUUUAGAUUGAGAAAAUAAAAAUAAAUGAGUAUGUUGUAAAGUUGAAAGAUAAUGAGAGGUAGGACAGAGUAUUUGAUCGGAUAUGGAGAUAUUGGCAAGAAAUUUGGUGAUAGCAUAUGUGGUAGAUGUUUUCUAUUGUUCUCUCUAGAAGUUACCAAGUUUCCAUUGGGAACAUUUUUCAUAGGAGCAAUGUCUAGUCUACUUAUUACUUAUUCAUUAUUCAUUAUAGCAUUCUAAUCACUAAAAGUACACCAAGCAAAGGACAUGCCUGUUUCCAUAGAAUAUAAACUUAAUUGUUAAAUGUUAUAGAGGAUGAUAGAAGAUUUUGAAUUGUAUUACCUCCUAAAACAGAGAUGCUCUAUGGAAUGAAAACAAUUAUAACUCUGACCACAGGCAAGUUUGAUGGUCACCUAAAAAUGAACCCUCUAGGUUGUAUUGAGAAAAAUAAUUGAGAGACUUUUUUGGGGAGAGAAAAAGGGAAAGAUGAGAGAAGUCAAUGUGUAGACUUUGAAUGGUGAAUUGGAGAUUGUUAGAACCACAAAUAGGUGGGAGGAAGUUGGCAGUCCAAUAGUGUUUACUGACUCCAGAGCCUAGAACUUCAGAGACUAUUAAGAUUGUGUUCAGAGGAUGAGUUUAUUCUGUCUCUAAUUGAGCUGAAGUUUUAUCUCAUGCCUAAAUGACAAAGUUUCUUGAUUUUUUAUUCCCUGACCUUCAUUAUUAUUUUACUGCUUUGAUAAAUGUUUACUUGCUGUUUGUGAUUAUUUUUUUGUGUGAUAAACAUCUGGCAGAAAGGAAGAUAAACUUCCACAGAUUAAGUUGUUAGCCCUCCAGGUCUGAGUAGAACUUUUCUCCCCACUUCCUCCUCCAACUAUGAAGCUGAAUGACCAGGAAAAUGGACUUUAUCUUAAAAAUCUUUCUCCCCUAGGAAAAAUAAUUACCUCCAUAGAUUUCAAAAUCUGAUGUCUAAUAGUUGUUUCCAAGCCCCAGGUCAUCUCUUUCCCUUCCCCAUCUCCCCCUUGAAGAUAGGAGAGCAAGAGAAUAAUCAUUAAGCCAUAGCUUUUCUCCUAAUGCCUACAAAGGUGGAAUCCCAGUCUCCAAGACACGGAAUACAUCAUUUCUUAUCUAUCUAUAAUCCCUGUUAUAUAUAUGCUGCUUUGUUACUUAGCUUUUUAAUGCCACACAUUUGUGCCUACAGGAAAAUUUUUGCAUUGUUUCCAAGUUAUUUCUCUUGCAAGAAUUUUUCUUUUUUCAACUUUUUUUUUUUUUGAAUUCUCCUAAAGUUUUGGAGUUUUGGUGAUGAUUCUGAAGUUGGAUUCUAUUUCAGACUUUUUCAUUGCUUUUUUUUCUGAAAGUGCUUUAGUUAUGAUUUCAAUUAGAAUAGACAGGCCACAGGCUUUCAAGAAUUUAUCUAUUUAUUUAAUUACUUAUCUAUUUUUAGACUAGACCUUCCUAUUUCACCCAGACUGAAAGUGCAGCAGGUUUAUCUUAUUGUUGAUUGGCACUGGAAAAUUUUUUUUUUAUUAAAGCUUUUUAUUUGCAAAAUAUAUGUAGGGAUAAUUUUUCAACAUUGACCUUUGUAAAACCUUGUGUUCCAAAUUUUUCCCUACCUUCCUUUCAUCCUCUUCCCUAGAUCCCCUUCCAAUCAAAGCUAAACAUGUGCAGUUCUUCUAUACAUAUUUUCACAAUUAUCUUGCUGCACAAGAAAAAUCAGAUCAAAAAGGAAAAAAGUGAGAAAGAAAAUAAAAUGCAAACAACAACAAAAAGAGUGAAAAUACUAUAUUGUGAUCCUCAAUAAGUUUCCAUAGUCCUCUCCCUGAGUGUAGAUGGCUCUGGUCAACAUAACAUCAUUGGAACUGGUCUGAAUCAUCUCAUUGUUAAAAGGAGCCAUGUCCAUCAGAAUUGUUCAUUGUAUAUUCUUCUUGUUGCCAUGUACAAUGAUCUCCUGGUCCUGCCCACUUCACUUAGCAUCAGUUCAUGUAAGUCUCUCCAGGCCUCUCUGAAAUUAUCCUGCUGAUUGUUUCUCAUAGAACAGUAAUAUUCCAAUAAUAAUUCCAUAACAGCCAUUCUCCAACUGAUGGACAUCCAUUUAGUUUCCAGUUCCUUGUCACUACAAAAAGGGCUGCUACAAACAUUUUUGCACAUAUAGGUCCCUUUCCCUCCUUUAUAAUCUCUUUGGGAUAUAAGCCUAGUAGUAACACUGCUGGAUCAAAGAGUACGCACAGUUUGAUAACUUUUUGAGCAUAGUUCCAAAUUGCUCUCCAGAAUGUUUGAAUCACUUCACAACUCCACCAACAAUGUAUUAGUAUUCCAGUUUUCCCACACCCCUUCCAACAUUUGUCAUUAUCUUUUCCUGUCAUUUUAGCCAAUCUGAGAAAUGUAUAGUGGUACCUCAAAAUUGUCUUCAUUUGUAUUUCUCUGAUCAAUAGUGAUUUAGAGCACCUUUUCAUAUGACUAGAAAUGGUUUUAAUUUCUUCAUCUGAGAAUUGUCUGUUUGUAUACUUUGACCACUUAUUAAUUGGAGAAUGGUUUGACUUCUUAUCAGAGUCUCUUCUCUAUAUAUUUUAGAAAUGAUGUCUUUAUCAGAACCCUUAAAUGUAAAAAUUUUUUCCCAAUUUAUUGUUUCCCUUCUAAUCUUG
ensembl:lncRNA